rnacentral:lncRNA from 1 species
CUUUCCUGGGACAUGAAGCAAGGCACUGAAGCAUGAGAUGAAGUUGAAUUAUUCAGCAAUCCAAUGACCCUAACAAAGAUCUGGGGAGAGAAAGCAAGUUAGGAUUUCUGAGACCAACACCAUGAGGUCUUUGCUUCAUCAGAAUGACAUUUUAGAGAACCAAAGUGAGGAAAUGUGAUUGAAAAUGAGCCGAUUUUAUUCUGGUUGAAAUAUA